CAAUAGCGUAUAUUAAGGUUGUUGCAGUUAAAAAGCUCGUAGUUGGACCUUGGACCUGGACAGGCGGUCCGCCUCACGGCGAGUACUGUCUUGCUGGGUCUUUCCUCUUGGUGAUCUGUUGUUUCGGCAGCAGGGAACCAGGACCUUUACUUUGAAAAAAUUAGAGUGUUCAAAGCAGGCUCGACGCCGGAAUAUAUUAGCAUGGAAUAAUAAAAUAGGACGUGCGGUUCUAUUUUGUUGGUUUUUGGAAUCGCCGUAAUGAUUAAUAGGGACAGUCGGGGGCAUUAGUACUCACAUGCUAGAGGUGAAAUUCUUGGAUUUUGUGAAGACUAACUUCUGCGAAAGCAUUUGCCAAGGAUGUUUUCAUUAA
rnacentral:rRNA from 1 species